AAACCACCUAUAUAAGAGUAUCUGUAUGUGGCCACGGCUAUGUGAAUGGGCUGUCCAUAGAAGCUCUUAUGAAAAAUCAAGGUACUGUGCAUGGCCAUUAACGCACAGACUCGCGACAGAGAAUUCUGUAUUGUGUGUGUAGUAGUUGAAGUCAGGGUCAAAGGAACGUAGUUCAAGACCUCGUUCACUCCGAUUCCUUCCGAUGGAAACUAUUUACACUAAGCGGGGUUAAGUCUCUUAAAGACACCUCGCCUAUUGCAUAGUAUAAACACCUGAUGAUUUAUUUAUUUGUUUGUUUAAUUUUUUUGUGAUUUUGAAUUUUGUGGGGGAUUGUUGGAGAAAAUCCAAAAUCUCUAAAUAUCAUUAAAUUUUAUAAUUACUCUCAUUUAUUAUGUUAAUUAAUUUGAUGAAUUAAAUUUGAUUUAUUUCUUCUUAAUGCCACAUAAAGGCAUGAAUUAAGUGGAAUUAAUGUUGGGAAUGUUGGAAUCCCAACGUGCCAUUCUCUCUCUAUUAUAUAUACAAUGGAUUGCACUGUUUAUCUACAAUGAAUAGUGCUGAGAGAGAGAUUUAAGUGAAAAAAUGAAAGUAGAAACUUUAUUUAAAUUCUUUAUUUUAUUAUGUUUUGAUCUUUUUAUCAUUGGGUGUUGAAAGAGUCUCCGUCAACCUCCUUCACGAUCGUGCUCGCAGGAUGAGGAAUUCCGAUCGUACAUUGGGGUGUUAUUUCCGGUUAAUCCCGCACGUAAGGACGGGAAUACGCCUUAGGGCAGUGCCUCGCACACUUCCGGAUCAAUUAAAAUAUUUAUUUGGAUUUAGCGAUUAUCGGUAAGUUGAUUUUAUUAAUUUUAUCACAAAAUUUAGUUAGUUUUAAAUCACAAUCAGAUUUUUGUGCGGAAUUUGUUCUAACAUAAACUCUAAAAAAUUUAAUUUAUAUUCAUGUUAUCCCUUUCUUAAGUUUUUCAUCAAGCUUCGUUAAUCGAAAACUAAUGAAAUAUUAAAAUUUAGAGUAUUAGAUAUCCAU
rnacentral:lncRNA from 1 species